rnacentral:rRNA from 1 species
UUUGGCCCAACCUCCAACCCUUUGUCUACCUGACCACUGUUGCUUUGGCGAGCCUGCUUCUGUAGGGGCUGCCGGGGGGUUCUAUUCCCCUGGAUGGUGCUCGCCAAUAGCCCUGAUUAAACUCCUUUGUUAAAUCUGAAGUCUAAGCAAUACCUAAAAAGCAAAAAACUUUCAACAACGGAUCUCUUGGUUCUGGCAUCGAUGAAGAACGCAGCGAAAUGCGAUAAGUAAUGCGAAUUGCAGAAUCCGUGAGUCAUCGAAUCUUUGAACGCACAUUGCGCCCUUUGGCAUUCCGAAGGGCAUGCCUGUUCGAGCGUCAUUAUCACCUCUCAAGCCUGGCUUGCAGUUGGACUCGCGGUAAGGCCCUCGCCUAGCCGGUCUUAAAGAUAACGACGGCGUCUGUGAAUGACCCCAGUACACUGAGCUCUUGUGGCACGUACUUGGCGGGAGUUGCAGGCCGGUCUAGCCUCUAGUUUUA